UACGUAGGCAGCAAGCGUUGUUCGGAAUUACUGGGCGUAAAGCGCACGCAGGCGGCGCGGUAAGUCUGAUGUGAAAUCUCCCGGCUUAACUGGGAGGGGUCAUUGGAAACUGCCGAGCUUGAGGCGAUGAGAGGGGUGUAGAAUUCCCGGUGUAGUGGUGGAAUGCGUAGAUAUCGGGAGGAAUACCAGUGGCGAAAGCGGCACCCUGGCAUUAGCCUGACGCUCAUGUGCGAAGGCGUGGGGAGCGAACAGG
rnacentral:rRNA from 1 species